rnacentral:rRNA from 1 species
AUUGAACGCUGGCUACAGGCUUAACACAUGCAAGUCGAGGGACCGGCGCACGGGUGAGUAACGCGUAUCCAACCUUCCCAUGACUACGGGAUACCCUGCCGAAAGGCAGACUAAUCCCUUAUGGUUAUGGAUGUGGAUGCGUCUGAUUAGUGAGUUGGCGGGGUAACGGCCAACCAAGGCAACGAUAAGUAGGUGUUCGGAGAGGAAGGUCCCCCACAGUGGAAAGGAGACACGGUCCAAACGCCGAGGGGAGGCAGGAGUGAGGAAGAUGGGGCAAUGGGCGAGAGCCUGAACCAGCCAAGUAGCGUGCAGGACGACGGCCUAUGGGUGGUAAACUGCUUUUGUAUGGGGAUAGGUACCAUACGAAUAAGGACCGGCUAAUUCCGUGCCAGCAGCCGCGGUAAUUC